UGCAGUCGAACGGUGAUGCGGAGCUUGCUCCGCGGAUCAGUGGCGAACGGGUGAGUAACACGUGAGUAACCUGCCCUUGACUCUGGGAUAAGCGUUGGAAACGACGUCUAAUACCGGAUACGACCUACGAAGGCAUCUUCUGUGGGUGGAAAGAAUUUCGGUUGGGGAUGGACUCGCGGCCUAUCAGCUUGUUGGUGAGGUAAUGGCCCACCAAGGCGACGACGGGUAGCCGGCCUGAGAGGGUGACCGGCCACACUGGGACUGAGACACGGCCCAGACUCCUACGGGAGGCAGCAGUGGGGAAUAUUGCACAAUGGGCGCAAGCCUGAUGCAGCAACGCCGCGUGAGGGAUGACGGCCUUCGGGUUGUAAACCUCUUUUAGCAGGGAAGAAGCGAAAGUGACGGUACCUGCAGAAAAAGCACCGGCUAACUACGUGCCAGCAGCCGCGGUAAUACGUAGGGUGCAAGCGUUGUCCGGAAUUAUUGGGCGUAAAGAGCUCGUAGGCGGUUUGUCGCGUCUGCUGUGAAAACGCGAGGCUCAACCUCGCGCCUGCAGUGGGUACGGGCAGACUAGAGUGCGGUAGGGGAGAUUGGAAUUCCUGGUGUAGCGGUGGAAUGCGCAGAUAUCAGGAGGAACACCGAUGGCGAAGGCAGAUCUCUGGGCCGUUACUGACGCUGAGGAGCGAAAGCGUGGGGGAGCGAACAGGAUUAGAUACCCUGGUAGUCCACGCCGUAAACGUUGGGGAACUAGAUGUGGGGUCCAUUCCACGGAUUCCGUGUCGCAGCUAACGCAUUAAGUCC
rnacentral:rRNA from 1 species